rnacentral:rRNA from 1 species
UAGGGAAUCUUCGGCAAUGGACGGAAGUCUGACCGAGCAACGCCGCGUGAGUGAAGAAGGUUUUCGGAUCGUAAAGCUCUGUUGUAAGAGAAGAACGAGUGUGAGAGUGGAAAGUUCACACUGUGACGGUAUCUUACCAGAAAGGGACGGCUAACUACGUGCCAGCAGCCGCGGUAAUACGUAGGUCCCGAGCGUUGUCCGGAUUUAUUGGGCGUAAAGCGAGCGCAGGCGGUUAGAUAAGUCUGAAGUUAAAGGCUGUGGCUUAACCAUAGUAGGCUUUGGAAACUGUUUAACUUGAGUGCAAGAGGGGAGAGUGGAAUUCCAUGUGUAGCGGUGAAAUGCGUAGAUAUAUGGAGGAACACCGGUGGCGAAAGCGGCUCUCUGGCUUGUAACUGACGCUGAGGCUCGAAAGCGUGGGGAGCAAACAGGAUUAGAUACCCUGGUAGUCCACGCUGUAAACGAUGAGUGCUAGGUGUUAGACCCUUUCCGGGGUUUAGCGCCGUAGCUAACGCAUUAAGCACUCCGCCUGGGGAGUACGACCGCAAGGUU